GCCAAGCUGACCUGGAGUUAAACUCCAGCUUCAAAGAAAGCAAGCUCUGUGAUCUUGGGCAAGGAACUUAACCUAUCUGAGCUGCAUUCAGCUGAUGUUGCUAGCCUGAGGUCAUUGUCAUCACAGAUGACUUUCACUUGAUAACUCUGUCAUCAGCCUUGAGCCUUACAGGGAGCACAGUCCAGUUGUGUUUAAUGGUUGUUGUAUCACUGGGUAUGAAGAUCACAUGACAGACCAUAUAUUGCCAUACAAGGAUUGAGGCAAGAACUAUCAGCAGAGCAGAAGCCCAUCAUCAGUGCCCCAGCCAUACAGAGCUGUGUCAUAUGAAGAUCUUCAAAAAUGCUAUUAUGGUUAAUAUUAAUGAUAUAAAUGAAAAUUACGAAUAGUUAUAACCUUCCAUGCUGCCUCAGGAGAAGAAAUUAUGCUGAAUAUCAAAGAAAUCAUUACCUUUGAUUCUGAGAAUACAGCCAUAAUGUAUAGCAUAAUGUGCUUUGUUUGAAAGAAAUUGAGCAGCAGAAGAGGUCUUAAGUGG
ensembl:lncRNA